UGUUUUUUAUUAUAAUUUUUAGGAGGGCUGAGAUUAAAUUUAGGGGGGCUUGAGCACCCCUAAAAAGGGUCUAAAAUCACCACUGACCUAUGCUAUAUGAUGCA